CGCAGCUCUCUGCUCUGCGCGGGGGCGGGUCUCUAACGCCCCGCCCAUCUAGGGAGGUCGCCUGCCGACCCCGCCCACUCUGGUCCGCCGCUCUCCACGCCACCGCUUUUUCCGAGUCAGCUCCGCCUAGGCAGAUGGAUUGUGGUUCGAAUCCCUGUGGCCGCGGGCUGCUCUUCCCCACACUGCCAGGCUGAGGUGGCGAUGGGUGUAACCCAGAGGAGGAUUACACAACCCGUGAACAACAGGGAAAAUGUUUUAUUUAAACCCAAGUAACUUCACACAAAGCACCAGCCCCUGGGUCUAAAGACAAGUUAUACAGGGGUGAGAGCAGGGAGGAUAGGGCUUUAUCCGCAAACAUUCUUCUCCAGAUGGGAUUUUCUUGAAUGAAUGAAAGAACUGAGGUGGAAGAUCCAGAAAGAACAAAGGAAAUUGAGAUGGCCUGUGUGUCAUUGUGUUAGGGAAGGCCACUCCCUAGACUGUAUGAGAUACUGUCCUUGUACAAAUCACACAGCAGAGUUACAUCCAUCCUGUGACAUUUGAUUCCAAGUGAAGGGGACCAUGAGGUUCUGUCUCAAGAAAAUCUGCUGGCAAUCCAGGAAACUGAUCCAAUGAUAUUCCAAAUAUUAGCUCCAACACACUCACUCUUAAAAAAUAAUAAAAAAAAAUACAAAACCAAAACCUAUUCAGAGGAGGGAUGCAUGCACCACCAUGUUGGUUCUCCCCGUCUGCGGUGGAUUCCAGGGAACAAACUCAGGUUGUCAGACUUGCAUGGCCAACACUCUUAUCCUGAGCCGUCUCACCAGCCCAAUACACGCUCUUCAAAACCAACUUGAAUUGAAAUAAUUUUGCAUUGCGGUGCUUUUUUAUUUUGUCAGAGUCUUAUUAUAUGACUGUCUGCUUGUUAUGUAUAAUAGGCUGGCAUUGAACUCGCAGAGAUCUGCCUGAUUUUGCCUCUUGAGUGUUGGGUUUAAAGGUAUGAACCCCCAUACCAGCUUAAGUUUCAGUUGUAGCCAUUUUAACAGUAUUUCUUAAAAUUAUGCCUCUGAGCCUGCGCCAAAGGCAGCCUCUUUGAAAUGAAGUUCUCUCUGUGUGCAUGUCUCUCUCUGUCUCGUGUGUGUGUGUGUGUGUGUGUGUGUGUGUGUGUGUGUGUGUGAAGGGGGGCGGUGGGAGCCAGAGUCUGAUACCAGGCAUCUUCAUCUAUUGCCCUGACCUCAUUCUUGGAGACAGGUUCUGUGUCUGACCCUGAGCUCGCUGCUCUGGCUAGACUGGCCCAUGAGGAAGUCCUGGAUCUGCUUGUCUCCACAUGGUACUGGGAUUACAGGUGGCGCCUGGAUUGCUUUCAUUCGCACUGGGAACUGAACUCAAGGCCCUCAGGCCUUCACAGCAUUUUCCAGCACUGAGACUCACUUGAUAUGAAAUUCAAGGAUUCCCGUUUCUGGCCAGCUGUUGGCCUAGGCAUUUACCCCUCGGAGAAUAAAUGGACUUUAAGACAGUCACUCUUGUGAGGGUAAGUACGCACAUUCAUUCAUGCAUCCAUUCACUAGUGUUUGUUAGUGCCUGGGGAAACUAAAGGCUGAACACACCACCCAAAGCGAUACACAGAUCCUCCAUGGGCCCAAAGACUUGUCCAUAGCAGGGUUGCCCUUUAUCCUCCUCACUGUUUGUCAUUAAACUGUCCCAGAAGCAGAUCCCGGCAGGAGGAAUUGGUUCAAACCUAGUAGUCCUUCAACAUCUGGCAGAGAUUAGUUCCAGGACCCCCUUUACCAGGUUGCAGCGUCUGGGGAUGGGCGAGCCUUAUAGAAAACGAUUUGCAUACAGCCUCUGCACAUCUUCCCAAAUGCUUUAAAUCCUCUCUGCAUGACGGACACUGACUGUCACGCAAGGCUGUGUAAAUAGUUGUGAUACCGUAUUGUUUCGAGAGUCGU